ACGCUGGCGGCGUGCUUACACAUCUCUGUCGACGAUACNUCUUAGCUUGCUAGAGAAAGUAAAGUGGCGCACGGGUGAGUAACGCGUGGGUAAUCUGCCUCCGAAUCGGGGAUAACAUUGCGAAAGCGAUGCUAAUACCGGAUAAAAUCUGGUUGGCUUAGGUGAACCGGAUCAAAGGUGGUCUCUUUAUAAAAGCUACCGUUUGGAGAUGAGCUCGCGUACCAUUAGCUAGUUGGUGAGGUAAAGGCUCACCAAGGCGACGAUGGUUAGCUGGUCUGAGAGGAUGAUCAGCCACACCGGAACUGGAACACGGUCCGGACUCCUACGGGAGGCAGCAGUGAGGAAUUUUGCGCAAUGGGGGAAACCCUGACGCAGCAACGCCGCGUGAGUGAUGAAGGCUUUCGGGUCGUAAAGCUCUGUCAGGUGGGAAGAACCCACCAAGUGUUAAGACCACUUGGUGCUGACGGUACCACCGAAGGAAGCACCGGCUAACUCCGUGCCAGCAGCCGCGGUAAUACGGGGGGUGCGAGCGUUAUUCGGAAUCAUUGGGCGUAAAGGGCGCGCAGGCGGUUAUGUAAGUCAGAUGUGAAAUCCCGGGGCUUAACCCCGGAAGUGCAUAUGAAACUAUGAGACUUGAGUAUGGGAGAGGAAAGCGGAAUACCUGGUGUAGCGGUGAAAUUGCGUAGAUAUCAGGAGGAACACCGGUUGCGAAGGCGGCUUCCUGGACCAGUACUGACGCUGA
rnacentral:rRNA from 1 species